AUUGAACGCUGGCGGCAGGCCUAACACAUGCAAGUCGAGCGGAUGAAGGGAGCUUGCUCCUGGAUUCAGCGGCGGACGGGUGAGUAAUGCCUAGGAAUCUGCCUGGUAGUGGGGGAUAACGUCCGGUAACGGGCGCUAAUACCGCAUCCGUCCUGAGGGUGAAAGUGGGGGUUCUUCGGACCUCACGCUAUUUGCUGAGCCUAGGUCGGAUUAGCUAGUUGGUGGGGUAAAGGCCUACCAAGGCGACGAUCCGUAACUGGUCUGAGAGGCUGAUCAGUCACACUGGAACUGAGACACGGUCCAGACUCCUACGGGAGGCAGCAGUGGGGAAUAUUGGACAAUGGGCGAAAGCCUGAUCCAGCCAUGCCGCGUGAGUGAAGAAGGUCUUCGGAUUGUAAAGCACUUUAAGUUGGGAGGAAGGGCAGUAAGUUAAUACCUGGCUGUUUUGACGUUACCAACAGAAUAAGCACCGGCUAACUUCGUG
rnacentral:rRNA from 1 species